UACAGAGGGUGCAAGCGUUGUUCGGAAUUACUGGGCGUAAAGCGCGUGUAGGUGGCGACGUAAGUCGGGUGUGAAAUCCCUUGGCUCAACCGAGGAAGUGCAUUCGAUACUGUGUCGCUUGAGUACUGGAGGGGAUGGCGGAAUUCCCGGUGUAGAGGUGAAAUUCGUAGAUAUCGGGAGGAACACCUGUGGCGAAGGCGGCCAUCUGGACAACACCUGACACUGAGGCACGAAAGCUAGGGGAGCAAACAGG
rnacentral:rRNA from 1 species